rnacentral:rRNA from 1 species
UACGAAGGGGGCUAGCGUUGCUCGGAAUCACUGGGCGUAAAGCGCACGUAGGCGGCUUUUUAAGUCAGGGGUGAAAUCCUGGAGCUCAACUCCAGAACUGCCUUUGAUACUGAGAAGCUUGAGUCCGGGAGAGGUGAGUGGAACUGCGAGUGUAGAGGUGAAAUUCGUAGAUAUCUGGAGGAACACCGGUGGCGAAGGCGGCAUCCUGGACCAACACUGACGCUGAGUGAGCGAAAGCCAGGGGAGCAAACGGG